GGACCCGACUGCUAUUUGGGUGAGGAUAAGCCAUGCGAGUUGAAUGGGAAACCUAAAGUUCCCAUGGCAAACUGCUCAGUAACACAUGAUCAACUUACCCUAUAGAGAAAAAUAACCUCGGGAAACUGAGGAUAAUGUUUCAUAGUUGAAUUGGCUUGGAAAAGUUUUUCGACAAAAGGGGUAAAAAAAAUGGUUUUUAUCUGCUAUAGGAUAGGAUCGUGUUCGAUUAUGGUUGUUGGUGAGGUAAUGGCUCACCAAGCCGAUAAUCGAUAGGGGCCGUGAGAGCGGGAGCCCCGAGAUGGGUACUGAGACAACGACCCAGGCCUUACGAGGCGCAGCAGGCGCGAAACCUCCGCAAUACACGAAAGUGUGACGGGGUUACCCAAAGUGUUCAAUUUUGAACUGUGGUAGGUGAGUAAUGUUCCCUACUAGAAAGGAGAGGGCAAGGCUGGUGCCAGCCGCCGCGGUAAAACCAGCUCUUCAAGUGGUCGGGAUAAUUAUUGGGCUUAAAGUGUCCGUAGCCGGUUUAGUAAGUUCCUGGUAAAAUCGGGUAGCUUAACUAUCUAUAUGCUAGGAAUACUACUAUACUAGAGGGCGGGAGAGGUCUGAGGUACUACAGGGGUAGGGGUGAAAUCUUAUAAUCCUUGUUGGACCACCAGUGGCGAAGGCGUCAGACUGGAACGCGCCUGACGGUGAGGGACGAAAGCCAGGGGAGCGAACCGGAUUAGAUACCCGGGUAGUCCUGGCCGUAAACGAUGCAUACUAGGUGAUGGCACGGCCAUGAGCCGUGUCAGUGCCGUAGGGAAACCGUUAAGUGUGCCGCCUGGGAAGUACGGUCGCAAGGCUAAAACUUAA
rnacentral:rRNA from 1 species